GAUGAACGCUGGCGGCGUGCUUAACACAUGCAAGUCGAACGAGAAAUGUAGACGGAAACCUUCGGGCGGAAGCCUUCAUUUCGAGUGGCGGACGGGUGAGUAACGCGUGGGUAACCUGCCUCAUACAGGGGGAUAACAGUUGGAAACGACUGUUAAUACCGCAUAAGACCACAGCAUCGCAUGAUGCGGGGGUAAAAACUCCGGUGGUAUGAGAUGGACCCGCGUUCGAUUAGCCAGUUGGCGGGGUAACGGCCCACCAAAGCGACGAUCGAUAGCCGAUCUGAGAGGAUGACCGGCCACAUUGGGACUGAGACACGGCCCAAACUCCUACGGGAGGCAGCAGUGGGGAAUAUUGCACAAUGGGGGAAACCCUGAUGCAGCGACGCCGCGUGAGUGAAGAAGUACUUCGGUAUGUAAAGCUCUAUCAGUAGGGAAGAAAAUGACGGUACCUGAGGAAGAAGCCCCGGCUAACUACGUG
rnacentral:rRNA from 1 species